AAGUAGGUCUUAGUGAUCCGGUGGUUCUGAAUGGAAGGGCCAUCGCUCAACGGAUAAAAGGUACUCCGGGGAUAACAGGCUGAUACCGCCCAAGAGUUCAUAUCGACGGCGGUGUUUGGGCACCUCGAUGUCGGCUCAGUCACAUCCUGGGGCUGAAGUAGGUCCCAAGGGUAUGGCUGUUCGCCAUUUAAAGUGGUACGCGAGCUGGGUUUAGAACGUCGUGAGACAGUUCGGUCCCUAUCUGCCGUGGGCGUUGGAAGAUUGAGAGGGGUUGCUCCUAGUACGAGAGGACCGGAGUGAACGCACCACUGGUGUUCGGG
rnacentral:rRNA from 1 species